rnacentral:lncRNA from 1 species
GUUGGAAUAGGGUCCAGUAUGCAGCUUGAAGGUUUAGAGGCCAUGAUUAUUUUCAUCAUUGUGUCAAGAGAUAUAGUACUAAAACACUUUAGUAUCUCCCUUGAUCCUAGGUCCUGGCAGAGUUGUGUAGACUCAGGACAAUGGAGUUUUGGAGGAAUACGCAGAUUUAAAGAGGAGUCUGUAAUUUGCUUUCUAAUGAUCAUGAUCUUUUCCUCAAAGAAGUUCAUGAAUUCAUUACUGCUGAAGUGAAAGCCAUCCUCCAUUAGCGAAGGCUCCUUUUUAGUUAGCUUUGCGACAGUAUCAAAAAUACAUUUCGGAUUGUUCUUAUUUUCCUCAAUUAAGUUGGAAAAAUAGGGUGAUCGUCAGUGUUCGGCUUCAUUCAUUUGUCAGAUAACUAUGAAAUCUGACAUAUUAUUUCUCAAGUCCUAGAUUACCAAACUUUUGUUUUCUUUGCCAUAGAGUGAACUCGACGUGACGUCGUUACAGCGCGCCAAACGGGUUUCGUCUCUCUUACAGAAGAGACUGAGAAGUACCUCUUUCUCUAACCGGGUUUUUAACGUUUCACGUUGAUAUCAGCAGUCUGUGUGUCACUCGCCGUCUGAUGAAAGGUUGUUAGGAUGCGAUAAGCGUAUUCUAGUGGAGAAAGUGUCCAAAAUAAACCUUUAUUUCGAGUGCGAAGACAGGACAACACGCCACGGCACUAGUAACGUUAGUUACUAGCAAUAACGGAUCUCUGGUUUUAUCGAAGGAUGUCCGGUCCCUCCUGUCCUCUCAUCUGAAGACCGUAGGAGAGAAGUCUAGUUUAGUGAUGAAACAGGACAUGUUGACCAGAGGGGGUAACACGGGUACACUCCUGCCAGGGAGGAGAGACUCUAUGGGGGUAUCGCUGCUAGGCAGCACCCCCUCUUCCUCCUCCACCACCCUCUCUUCCUCCUCCAACUCUUCAAUCUCCUCCCUCUCUUCUUCCAUCUCUUCAUCUUCCUCUGGGGAAGAAAGGAGAAAGGGAGGUGGUGAGGAGUUUAUUGGCAGAGAGGAGGAAGAGGGGGAGGUGGUCAGCAUUUCCAUAGUUACCAUAGCGGAGGAGUCCUGCUCCUCGGAACCGUUCGGAACUGUCGGCGGUCACGUCGAGGUAACAGCAAAUGAGAGCGCGGCUAGGGAAAGAGAUGGCCAAUCAAAAACCUCCCACAGUACCCAGACUGAAGAAGAGGGGGUGCGUAAUGGAGUGGAAGAGGAGGAAGGUAGAAAGGAGGAUGAUGAGAAGGAGCAGGGAGAUGAAGGUGAGGAGGAGGAGGCAGAGGAGACGGAUGAAGAGAGAAGGAACCAGGUGUUUGUCUCGGAUGAGAACCCUGAAACGCCUUCCGCACUCCUCAACAUCAAGGUAAGAACCCACCUCUCUCCCCUUCGAGCCUAAUUCAGAGUCCAGAGACACCAUAGUCCGGAAUCCCAUUGUGACAUACAGUGGCAAGAAAAAGUAUGUGAACCUUUUGGAAAAUACCUGGAUUUCUGCAUAAACUGGUCAUAAAAUUUGAUCUGAUCUUCAUCUAAGUCACAACAAUAGACAAAACACAGUCUGCUUAAACUAAUAACACACAAACAAUUAUAUGUAUUUCCAUGUCUUUAUUGAACGCACCGUGUAAAAAUUCACAGUGCAGGGUGGGAAAAGUAUGUGAACCCUUGGAUUUAAUAACUGGUUGACCCUCCUUUGGCAGCAAUAACCUCAACCAAACGUUUUCUGUAGUUGAGGAUCAGACCUGCACAACGGUUCAGGAGGAAUUUUGGACCAUUCCUCUUUACAAAACUGUUUCAGUUCAGCAAUAUUCUUGGGAUGUCUGGUGUGAACUGCUCUCUUAAGGUCCUGCCACAGCAUCUCAAAUCGGGUUGAGGUCAGGACUCUGACUGGGCCACUCCAGAAGGUCUAUUUUCUUCUGUUGAAGCCAUUCUGUUGUUGAUUUACUUCCUGUGUUUUGGGUCGUUGUCCUGUUGCGUCACCCAACUUCUGUUGAGCUUCAAUUGGCGGACAGAUGGCCUUAUAUUCUCCUGCAAAAUCUCUUGAUGAACUUGGGAAAUCAUUUCUCCAUCGAUGAUCACAAGCUGUCCAGGCCCUGAGGCAGCAAAGCAGCCCCAAACCAUGAUGCUCCCUCCACCAUACUUUACAGUUGGGAUGAGGUUUAUGAUGUUGGUGUGCUGUGCCUUUUUUUCUCCACACAUAGUGUUGUGUUUUCCUUCCAAACAACUCAACUGUAGUUUAAUCUGUCCACAGAAUAUUUUGUCAGUAGCGCUGUGGAACAUCCAGAUGCUAUUUUGCAAACUUCAGACGUGCAGCAAUGUUUUUUUUGGACAGCAGUGGCUUCUUCCGUGGUGUCCUCCCAUGAACACCAUUCUUGUUUAGUGUUUUACGUAUCGUAGACUCGUCAACAGAGAUGUUAGCAUCUUCCAGAGAUUUCUGUAAGUCUUUAGCUGACACUCUAGGAUUCUUCUUAACCUCAUUGAGCAUUCUGCUCUGUGCUCUUGAAGUCAUUUUUGCAGGAUGGCCACUCCUAGGGAGAGUAGCAACAGUGAUGAACUUUCUCCAUUUAUAGACAAUUAGUCUUACCGUGGACUGAUGAACAUCAAGGCUUUAAGAGAUACUUUUAUAACCCUUUCCAGCUUUAUGCAAGUCAACGAUUCUUCUCUUUUGUUUGAGGAAUGGUUCACAUCAGGCAAUGCUCCUUGUGAAUAGCAAACUCAAACGCAGCUCUAACCAACAUAUCCAACCUGACAGAGCUUGAGAGGACCUGCAGAGAAGAAUGGGAGAAACUCCCCA